GGGAUGGUGUCCAUCUAUACCAGCAUAGUCUCUGAGGUUGGUCUCCUCCAAUGCCUCCCAGUCCCUAUAGCACAUUCAUUUCGUUCUUCACUUACUACAGGAAGGAGAGGCAUGAUUCAGGUUCUGGGGGGCUUCUGUACACUGCAUUUCUUAGCAAUUACUCACUGCCGGCUUCUAUUGAUUAUCUUUAUGCAUUUUCAAUGAACUUUCCAAAAGCUCAACCUAGGACUAAUUAAGCUUCUCAUUUCUCCUUCUUGUUCUCUAUCCAUUUUGCCCUUUAGCAGAAAAGAAAUGGUUUACAGAUGAGACGGAUAAUGCCUAUCCCAGAAACAUUCAAAUCAAGCCCAUGAGUACCCACAUGGCUAACCAGAUCAACCAAUAUAAAUCCACAAGCAGCCUGAUCCCUCCAAUCAGAGAAGUUGAAGAUGAAUGUUGAUUCCCAGGAGACCAGAACUAUUUUUUUAAAGGCUGACAAACUGCAUAAAUGGUGACGUGACUUCUCUUCCUCUUACAUGCUGAAUCACUGGUGGAAACACUAGAAUAUGCAAGAAUUGCAAGAAAAUAAAAUUAGACAGAUCUUUCUCUUUGCCUUGAAUAUUGCUUCCAUGUAUUUUGGGAAAGAAAAUUAUUUCAUUUAUAAAUGAACAUACUAAAAUAGUCAUGUAUAGUUCCUAGUGUUUUAAAUUAUUUUUAUUUAUUAGAAAGAAAAUAUAUUUUUCUUUUUUUCAUUGUCAGAUAUCUUCCCAUAUAUCACAGCAAUGCAAAAUUAAAAUGAGUAAGUGGCCAGAUUCCUUAAUGCACAUUUCUCUUCUUUCUCUCUUUUCGAGGAGAAUGAUGGUCACCACCCCAAUUUGUAAUGAAGGGAAAUGGAUUACUAAAACAAAUUUAAGAUGACCAACAAUGUACACACAUAUUUUAGUAAAUCAAAAAUAAAAAGUAAAAGAA
rnacentral:lncRNA from 1 species